rnacentral:tRNA from 1 species
UUCGUUGUCGUCCAGCCGUUAGGAUAUCUGGCUUUCACCCAAGAGACCCAGGUUCGAUUCCCGACAACGGAA